AUCCUAUUUUCCUUUUAAUUGAAUGGCAACUGCUGCUUUCAUUUCCUUCUCUCAGUUUCCGAUUUCAUGAAAUGAUAUGUAUAGGUUCAGGGCUUGAUAAUACCGGUGGCAUGCCUUCCGAAGUUUCUGGCGCCAAGAAACAUCGCUUGCCCGGUCUCAGAGGAGAGACCAGCAGCAAAUCCCUUGAGGCCAUGGUGAGUUCAUAAAACUUCGAAUGCUGACUGGCUGCUGGGAUAUACUCUGGUCUCACAUAUGGGCUGAAGGAAGCUCGUGGAGCUCAUGAUUGGAAAAACAGUGUAGUUGCAGGAGCAAUAACGGGGGCAACACUUGCACUGACAUCAGAAGACACAUCUCAUGAACAGAUUGUGCAAUGUGCUAUUACUGGAGCUGCAAUCUCGACCGCAGCAAAUCUUCUUACCGGAAUAUUCUAGACAGAAUAUUAGUGAUGACCACCCUCUUAAUGAUUCUACUUUUGAAAUUGAUAAUUGAAAACCGUCUUGUGUUGUCUUGGUGGAUUUAUGGAUUCUUCUAGUUACUAGUUAGGACAUGUUUUUGAACUACUUGGCAAGUUGUUCCGUCUUAACUCGAAUUUGUAGUGUUGGACACGGCCUCCUUGUUAAAGUCCUUUCGAAUUAACAAGCUUCUUCCCUUGCAAGGAGCAUCCGAAUUAAACGUGACACUAGUUUUAGCAGUAA